CUCAUGAUAUCAAACACAUGCUUACAGAUAAAAACCUAGGGCUUCAGACUAGGAUAGAACAAAACACUUCGGAUGGCUUCCAUUUCUUAGAUAUAAAUGUUAAAGUGGAAAUGUGUGAGUACAUCACAACUAUUUACAAAAAACCUAUGUAUAUAUCAGUUUUAAUUCCCGCCUGGUCUAAAGAUCCGAUGCCUAUAAGCUUGCAGCUUUUAGAAAUAUGAUCACUAGGGUGUUUAUACAUACUACCAAUAGAUAUAGAAAAGGAACACCGAUACAUCCACAUCACAGCAGUUAAGCAUGGAUACACUCAUAGAGUUGUUGAAGACAUAUGGAAAAGAAUACAAAAAUACAUCUAUUGGGUUGUUCGGAAAGUUCAUGCCGAUUUUUGAUAGGCGGCGUAAUGACAGCUCUGAAUCUAU
rnacentral:lncRNA from 1 species